AAUGAACGUUGGCGGCGUGGAUUAGGCAUGCAAGUCGAGCGCGAUAUGUAGCAAUACAUGGAGAGCGGCGAAAGGGAGAGUAAUACGUAGGUAUCUACCCUCGGGUCUGGGAUAGCAGCGGGAAACUGCUGGUAAUACCAGAUAACGUCUCCGGACCAAAGGUGUGAUUCCACCUGAGGAGGAGCCUACGGCCUAUUAGCUAGUUGGUAGGGUAACGGCCUACCAAGGCAAAGAUGGGUAUGGGGUGUGAGAGCAUGCCCCCACUCACUGGACUGAGACACUGCCCAGACACCUACGGGUGGCUGCAGUCGAGAAUCUUCGGCAAUGGGCGAAAGCCUGACCGAGCGACGCCGCGUGCGGGAUGAAGGCCUUCGGGUGUAAACCGCUGUCGUAGUGGAGGAAAGUGUAGGAGAGUUAUCUCUUCUACUUGACUAAUACUAGGAGGAAGGACCGGCUAA
rnacentral:rRNA from 1 species